rnacentral:lncRNA from 1 species
AACAAAAAUAGCUAUUCUUUAUGCAAAACAGAUGAGGUCUGGUUGUUCAAAUAUGAUUUUCGCCAUCCAGAUCAAAGAACAAUAUAUCCCAAAUAUAUUCAUCAAAUUUCAGCAUAAUUAGACCACAAAUAACUGUCUGAUCGUAAGAAAAAACCAAACCGGUCACUAUUGUGAAAAAAUCACGAACAGUAAAUUUUGAAACACAAAU